rnacentral:lncRNA from 10 species
GUGUUUUAGUAAGAAAGAGACGGCAGUCAGCACACCUAAGAAUCAUUUCAGGAUCAUGCCUGGGGACUGAGGGAAAAAUUGGGGAGGAAAACCGAAAGGAAGUCAUACACAUGAAAUAAACAUCAAGUACUCUUCUGCAACUGCUCAAGGCAUCCAUUGUGACACCCUGGCAAUCAGCGCUCCAGGAAGAGGCAGGCACAAACCUGCCUGGGAAUUGUAUAAGAACCUUCCAGCCAUCCAGACAGAGGGAUAGAUGAUUGAGAAUGAAGAAAAGAAGAAGACAAAAAUGAAGACAAAGAAGGAGAAGGAGGAGAAAGAGGAACGGAGACGGAGAGAAAGAGAGACUGAUCUGGACUCAUAUCGCCUGGAUCUUGAACCCUGACUUUUUGCUGUUAUUGUUGUUCUAUAUGACAUUGAUCAUAUUAGUAAAUUUCCUGUGCUUCCAUUUCCUCAUCUGUAAUGUGAGAAUAAAAAUAGUAAUGCUGCUUUUGGAUUCUUGGGAAUAUUAAAUACCCAAGAAAAAUAUUUUUAAUAUUUUUAUUACAAGAUGAAGCCCAAACUCUUUUUCUGGCAUCCAAUAUCCUCAUUAUUUUUGUGCCCAGUUAUUUUCUCACUCCUAUAUUCUUAUUUUUCCCCAUUCUUUUAUUCCUUCCACAUUCCAAUCAAAUGAAUAUCAUGGGACUGACUACAGGUUGUCACAAUGAUCUCUUCCUCUGUCUUAAACCAAAACUUAUUUCAACCUCACCUUCCCAUCGCAGGUGAUGCUAAAUCACCAGUUGCUGGGACUAAGAACCUGAAUCAUUCAGGAUCCUUCUCUUGUGUUUUCCCUCAUAUCCCAGGCAUGGUCUAUAGAUUCUAAUUCUGAAAAAGAGCUGAAUUUUCCUCCUCUCUCCAUCCCACCUAGAAUAACCUUCCACCAUCUCUUAUCUGGGUUACUGUAACAGCCUCUUCAGUGGGCUCCCUGCCUCCAGCCUUUUUUUUUUUUUUUUUUUUUGAGACAGAGUCUUGCUCUUGUUGCCCAGGCUGGAGUGCAGUGGCGUGAUCUUGGCUCACUGCAACGUGUGCCUCCUGGGUUCAAGCGAUUUUCCUGCCUCAGCCUCCUGAGUAGCUGGGAUUACACCACCAUGCCCAGCUAAUUUUUGUAUUUUUAGUAGAGAUGCGGUUUCCAUCAUGUUGGCCAGGCUGGUCUCAAACUCCUGACCUUAGGUGAUCCACCUGCCUCGGCCUCCCAAAGUUUAGCUGCACAUACCUGGCAGAGUUGGUGAUCUAAAAGCACAAAUCACAUCCUGCUUUUUCCCUUCUCAAAGCUUCCAACAGCUUGUCACUGUGCCUAGAACAAAAUUCAAACUCUUUAUCAUGCUUUACAUGAUCCGGCAUUUGCCUACCUUUCCAAUGCCAUCUGUGAUUAAUUUUCCUAUUGCUCGCUCUCCUGAGGACAAACUUGUUUUCUCUCUGAUCCUUGAGCAAAGCAGGCUUGAUACAGCCUUUGCCCUUCCUACUUUAUUGUCUGGAAACCUCUCCUAUUUGCUGUUUUCUUGACAGCCUCUUUCUCAUGAUUCAAAUCUCUGUCCAAAUGCCAUCUUCUGCAAAAGACCCUACCUGGCUAGUCUAUAAAGCACCCCUUUCACCACCUUCAUUCAUUCAUUGUCAUAUAAUGCUUUUUGUUUUCUUCGUAAAUCUACAUAGCUUUUUCUAUUCUGAGAUUAUCUUAUCUGUUUACAUCUUCAGCCUGUCUUCCCUCCCCAGGAUAUGACAAUGAAGCUGCGUACCUUCUCUGACUUGGUUAUCAUUUCAUGCCUAGGAGUCAAUAGAUAUUUAAUAAAUAUAUUUUGGAUGAAUUCAUUCAUUCCCUCAUUCAUUUAUUCAUUCAUUCUGAGCCUUUGAAGGGUCAUGCUGAUUCUUUUCUUCGACCUUAGUCUUUUCUUCUCUUUGUGAGAUGAUAAACUCAUAAAUCUCCUUCCAAAACUCAACUCAAGCAUUAAUCUCUACAUCCUUUCACAGCACUCCAACUCCCUGGUGAUUUCACAGAGCCCUGAGCUUAUGACUGCCACUAUGCUUCUGUGUAAUUGCAGUUAUAUGUCUCCGCCCCUCCAACUAUGAGUUCUUCCAAUGUAAGAGCCACAUCUCUUGUCUCUGAAUUCCCAUUGCUCACUGGAGAACCUGGCAUCUAGCUAGGCAGAAAAGCAAAACGAUUUGUGUCAGGUAACUUAGGUUAAAUCUAUGACUUUGCUAAUUGAUUGCCUUUGAAGGCAAUUCAUAACAUUUCUGAUUAUUUAUUUCCUUACCUGUUAAAUGGACCUUUUCAGCAUAAUUUUCUUUUGGAAUUGUUUUUGUUUUUAUAAGCAUGUAGGUACAUGUUCUUCCACUUUUGCACAAAUGGAAAUAUAUUAUGCGUAUUAGCUCUCUCCCUGCUACUUUCACUUAACAAUUUGUUUUAAUUUCAUCCUGAGAUCUUUCCACAUCUGUUGGAUCAUUCAUUUUGAUGGUUGCAUAUUAUUAUAUAAUAUAGAUUAUCAUAAUUAUUAACUGGCUCCCUAUUGAUUGGCAUUUAUUUUCAAUCUUCUAUGAUUCCAAAACAAAAAUGUUGUAAUUAAUAGCCUUGAAUGUGUAUGUGAUCAAUGGCAAAUCUACUAGUAAGAUAACACUUCAGAAGUGGAAUUACUGAAUCAAAAGGUAUAUCCAUUUGUGAUAUAAGUUGCCAAAUUAUUCUUAAUAGAAUUAUACUAUUUAAACUCCUACCAAAAAUUAAUAAGAGUACAAGUUGUUGUACAUACUCACUAUCAUAAUAGGUUAUCAAAUAUUUUGACCUUUGCCGUUCUGACAGGUAGGAAAUGUUGAGUUGUAAUUUCUAUUUUUGUUUCUCUUCCCAUGAGUUAAGUUGAAUAUGUUUCUUGAAUAUAUUUCUAUGUGUUUAAGAAACAUUCAUAUAUAUUUUUCUUUCUUUCUUUUAUUUUUGAGACAAAGUCUCUGUCACCCAGGCUGGAGUGCAGUGGGGCAAUCUUGGCUCACUGCAACCUCCAUUUCCCAUGCUCAAGUGCUCCUCCCACCUCAGCCUCCCGAGUAGCUGGGACUACAGAUGCAUGCCACCACACCCAGCUAAUUUUUGUAUUUUUUAGUAGAGAUGGGGUUUUGCCAUGUUGGCCAGGCUGGUCUUGAACUCCUGGCCUCAAGGCAUUCUCUCAACUUGACCUCCCAAAAUGCUGGGAUUACUGGUGUGACCCAUUGCACCCGGCCCAUUCAUAUGUAUUUUUCUGUGAAUUAUUCCAUAACAUUAUUUUCUCAUUAAUCUAUUCCAUUGUUAGUCUUUUCUAUUCAAUAUGUAGAAGCUCUUUAUAUAUAAUAUUAACACUUUGUCUAUAUUGUCUAUGCAGAUAUUUGUCCUAGUUUUUUGUUUGUUCGUAUAGUAAAAUUUAUGACUUGUGAAUUUAAACUUGUAAAGGCCUUCUCAUUCUAGCAUUUAUUUUUAAUUCUCUAAUGUUCUUCAAGUAUACAGUUUCACUUUUUAUGUCUAAGUCUUGAAUUCAGGUUCAUCUAUAACUUAUUUCACUGUAACUUGUGAGAGAGCUAUCUGUAUUACUGUUUGCACAUGGUUAGUCAGUUGUUCCUACACUAUUUAUGGAAUAAUUGUGUUCAGUAAUCAUAAUUCUCAAGUUUAUUGUAGUCUUAAUUCUACAGUUAAAUGGGUUCAGCUAUCUCUAUCAUUUGCUAUAGUUUCUUCUCCCACUGUUCUCAGAAUUGUUUUGAAGGUAAAAGGUAAUAUGAAUUAGCCUAACAGGGGCUAGGCGCUCAACGAAUUUUAACUCGAUUGCUAUUGAGAGUCUUGUUAAAUUAUUUUGUUUGUUUCAAUAUACAAGUCACUCUAUUUAGUUAAUAAAUAUUAUAAUAACCCAAAGGAAUAACUGUCACAGCAUUUAUUGGGCAACUAUUUAAAUAUACAAGCUUUGGAAGAUUUAUCUAAGCAAUUAUUUAUGCUGGCAUGUGUAGGAUCCUGAAAUGAACGGGA